UUUCUCCGACAAGCAUCGCGAUCCUCCCGUCGUCUCACGCUCCGCAUCGUCUCCGCGCCUCGCCCGUCGCCCGUGCCGCGCCGCGCCGGCCACCACGCAUCGCUUGCGCCUGCGCUGCGAUGCUCCCCCGCGCCUCCUCCCUCGAUUCGGACGGCUUCCCCCACGCUGCUCCCCCGCGCCUCCUCCCGCGCCGCUGCUAAAUCUGAAAUCCGGCACCGGCGAUUCGGGUGGCUCGGCGUAAUUCGGCGGAAUCGAUGAUCUGGUGAUGUGGUGCUGCGGUGCGACGAGGUGGACGAAGCUUCCACCUUGUCCUCCAUGGUGGGCGGCAGCGUGGAAGUGGGCGGCGGCGCGGAAGUGGGUGGUUGAUGUCCCGAUGAGAUCUCUCGUUCGGGGACCGGCGGGCCCUCUUCCUCGUCGUUCCCCAGCUCCGCAAGCUUCCCCAUCGAUCCCCAUCUCCUGCAAGUUAGAUGGAGUACUCCGUAUCACAAAAGAAGACCUUUUAUCUGGUCAGAGCUUAUUGAAACUUACUCAUUGGAGAGCACUAAUAGAGCAUCGAAUUUCAUCAUUGGGGAACUUGAGGUGGAGAUGGUUCCUUAAUCUGCAGUAAAAGUACCAAGUUCAGGUUCAGGCACAAUUGCAGAGACUUCAAUCACAACUUCAGUUCAGUUCAAGUUCAGGCGCAGCUGCAGCCUCAAAUUUGCUUCAGUUCAGUGAAUUGUCCAACUUCAGUUCAGGCUCUGCAGGGAUUGAAAUUGAGGAUCAGAGGAAGGCGGCGACCUCGUCCUCGUCCAGGUCCUCGGCGACCUCAGAGGUCCAGGUCCUCGUCCUCGACGGAGUGGCGGCGGACGGCGAGGGAGCUGCGGAGGAGGGAACUGCGGAGGCGGCUGCAGACGAAGGAGGGAGCGCGGCUAGCAGGCCGGCCACCCUCCGCCCGGCGCGUCCACAAGCUUUGGCGGGAGGCCGGCGGGAGCUCCGCGUGCCUUCGGUGGCGCGAGGACAGCGGGAAGGCGACGGAUGGCAUGGAGGGCAGCACGAUGGAUCUGCGCGUCUGUGUGCUCUGGUGGGAGGCCGGCGGGAGCUCUGCUUGCCUCCGGCGGCGCGACGACAGCGGGACGAAGACGGAGGGCAGCGCGAUGGGAAGAUUUGGUUUUGAAUUUCAGGUUUGAAUUCCAAAUUUCAAAUGAUCCGAACGUUUGGAGGAGUUUUUUGCAAAAUUUGAAUUGCACUGGAGGUGGAGGAGGAGGCGACAUCCUUUCCUGGACAGAGGGAGUAAUAAAAUUGUACAUUUUUCACCUAGUGGGAAUAGCUUGAUGGAAGUAACAUGCAUGCAUGUGCAAAAGUAUGAGUUUUCCACUAAAUAUGUGUGAACAAAUUAAUUAUGUGAUGAUGUGACAUGCUUGUAUGUUUAGAGAAAUUAGGUAGUGGAUUGUUUCAACUUA